rnacentral:tRNA from 1 species
ACCCAGCUGGUUUAGUCGGUAGAGCACGAAACUCUUGAUUUUGGGGUUAUGAGUUCAAACCCCACGUUGGGCC